CCCCCCCCCCCACACACCCUCUUGUGACACUUUUGGUAUCCACUGUAGAUUUCAUGCAUCGGCCUAUUUUUAUGUUUUACAUCAAUGCUUACUCAAGAUCAAGCCUUAACACCUGAAAUUCAUAUUUUACGAGUCCUGUAUGCCUUUUAUCAUCAUACCCUAAAUGAAUGUUUGUUUUUAUGUACUUGACAGUGUAUAGAACACAGUAAUAAAACAUUACAUUCCAUUUCCAUCUUGUGAGAAUUACUAUACAUUCCAUGAAUUUAAUAAACCAAAAGCCGUAUAUAUGAAAACAUAAAUUGUAUUUGAAAACACAUGAGCUAUUUCCGAGUAUUGAUUGAAAUGACAAAAAACUAGUUGUAUAAAAAAUGCUAAUUUUGUUUUUAUGGAAACAUACGACACGACGCGCCGAAAUACCCACGUCGUGAUUGCACGAAAUGUAUUUUGAUACAAAAUGAUCGUAGAUUUCAGUUUAAAAGCAAAGCAUGUAAAGUUAACACACUGUUUCGAAGAUUACAAAUGUUAACAACGUGCCCAUCCUUGUGUAAAACAAAGCUAUGCUUUCUGGCCACUACACCGAUAAAGAAAAUGAUAGGCCUACUCUAUAUGUUUCAUAGUUUUAUAUUACUUCAUUUGGUACUUGUAUUUAUAAAGGUAUAUAUAUUAUAUUGUCCCCUUUUAUAUUUUGUGUACAUUCCUAUGAAAACAUUUCUUUCAUGUAUAAGAUUGUCAAGCUAAUCAUUUUCAAAACAGUUAGGACAGCAAGAAAGUAGGUGAAAUGACUAGUACUUUAAGAAGCGAAUCCAUCCUGAUCUGUAGACUAUUGUGGCGAUAUAAAAUAUUUAUAUGGUAGUACUCAGUGUAAGAAAUAGAACUAUAGCGUACUCGGUAUAUACCCAGGCUUUACUUUACUCGUUUUUCCGAUGGUUCCUUUUUCCAAAGGUUCAUACCAGGGAUUUCAAAAUUCAGGAAAUUAAAAUAGGGUUCAUUUUGCUGAGCAUUUGAAGCAUUACUCUGAAAUUUCAUAAAUCCGAAGUUCACUAUUCCAAAGGCUCCCAAUUCCGGAAACGAUGUGGGUACACAAAUGAUGAAAACGCUGACUGAGAAGUUGCAUGCUUAGGAUUACAGGUGUAUUACAGGUUUCGACAAGAUUAAUUGAGAGCAAUUACUUCGAAAAGGCAAUUUUGUUGAAAUUAAACGAACGAGCCGGAUCAAAACUAUUUUCAUGAUGUGUAAACUUAAAGACUUCUUCAGGGUAAAAAGUCUAUCAUGUGUAUCAUGUUUAGCGUAGGCCUAUUCUUUUUCAAGUCUUCAGCCAAAAUUGGUAUAAUAUAACAGAAUGAAAGCAUCAGGCAUCAGAGAAUAGUAUCACAUAAACAUUGUGACACCAAAUAUUUUGUGCCGAAUGCCCUGUAAAAAAAUACACAGAAUUUCACAUGCAUUUAUGUUUUUAUAAUGUGAUUUGCAGCUCCAACGCUUGUAGCUUCACUCAUACAUAUUGCAAAUUAUAAUCGACAGGUUUCUAAUUUAGUCAAUUAUUGACGUCUUUAGAAAAAUCCAUAAUACGCUGUUUUGUUCCCUUUACAUUUUUAAAUCAGAUAUCGUUUUUUUUUAAAGCUAUUUGUUUAUUAUCUAAUUAUGGCCAGCGAUAGUAGUUUAAAUUGGACUAUGUGACAUUAUUUCUAUAUAGUGAUAUGAAUGUCAUAUUCUCUUGAUUAAAACAUGUUUCGCUACUCAUGGGUCUUAAAGCAGAUCAUUUCCUGUUACCGAUCAUUGUAAAGUUCAUGUGAAUUCUGUAAGCCAUUUCUUAAAAAGUAUGCAUAUUUUAGUAUCACUGUGCUUAUUAUAUUGUACAUGUAAGCACUAUGUAAACUAAAUAAUAGAAGAGAAAUAAUGAAUAAAUGUUAUUUUAUAUAAAAAA